rnacentral:sRNA from 1 species
AUGUACCACUCGUACACGUCGGUUCCUGCACGCGCCGCCCAUGCGUGACGACUAGUCGCUACGCUUCUUGGCC